UGUUGCUUCAAUAUUAAGUAUUUAAUCUUGGGAGAGCUAUAACACCGUUCUUUGGUGGUGGUGUUGAUAUGGUAAUAGGCUAUCUGGCUCUUUUGUAUUUU